rnacentral:rRNA from 1 species
CCCUUAGAUGUCCUGGGCUGCACGCGCGCUACACUGAUGUGUCCAGUAAGCACCUAACCUCUUCCGAAAGGAACGGGUAACCUUUGCAAAGCACAUCGUGAUGGGGAUAGAUUAUUGCAAUUAUUAGUCUUGAACGAGGAAUUCCUAGUAAGCACAAGUCAUCAGCUUGUGUUGAUUACGUCCCUGCCCUUUGUACACACCGCCCGUCGCUCCUACCGAUUGAAUGUUCCGGUGAGCUCUUCGGACUGCGCGGUCUGCAGUUUCUGCGUUCCGUGCGGAAAGUUGCGCAAACCUUAACAUUGAGAGGAAGGAGAAGUCGUAACA